CGCCGUGCGCCCGUGCGCGGAGCGCGCAAGCGAAUCGAGCGCCGCCGCGCUCCUGCGGAGAACUUCCACACCACACGCCGAUCGCCCUGCGCGCUGGCAGAAGCGGCAUAAGCGGCAUAUCCACAAACGAGGACGGACCGCGUACUCAGCGCGGCAGUCCGUUGCGCGUCGUCUGCUACCGAGUCGUCAGCGGCGCGUCAACGCGUUCGAACCGGCGGUCGUCGCCGAUCACGUCUGAACGGACAAGUUUUGACGUCGCAGCUUUACGAUCACAUCGGGGAGAUCGUCGCAAUCUUCCGAUCCCAGCGACCGAGGAUAACCGACGUUCCGUACGUCCAAGGAGAACGGGCCCGCGACCGAGCCAGCCCUGAAAAGCGGCGGAACGCCGCCAAGUACGAGCGGCUGCACACCUGUCGGGGCUUCGGCGCAUCACUCGCCGUCGUCGCCGUCUUCGCGUCGUCUCUGCUCGUCCGAGACUUCGACCUCGGCGGACGACUCCGGACAAAACAAUAGAAGGGUGCUUCGAUGCUGCCGUCGUCGCGUCGUCGGCUCCCGAGUGACAACGCACGGUAGUUUGGUCCCACGAUGAAGGCGUUCGGCGGCGCGGUCGUGUUGUUCUCCGUCGUCGUCCUCGUCUGCGGCAGGACGACGGGGCUGCAGUGUCCGCCGGAGAGUGAGUGCGACGCGGCCAAGGAGUGCUCGAGCGAAGCUGCUCUCGUGGGGAAGUGUAGUUCCGAGUGGACGGUAGACGAAUGCGGAUGUUGUCGCAACUGUGUCCGCGAGGAAGUCGGGCUACCGUGCGGCGGGAGUCGUAAGCUGGGUGUUUGCAAAGCUCCCUUGGAAUGCAUCGCCGAUCUCGGCGUCGGCCGCCUCGCCGACGAUCACGAGGAAGGCACUUGUCACGAGCGCAACUGCUCGGCGCUGGCGUGUCCGACAACGUCGAGCCGAUCCUGCCCCGAGGACAGCUACGCCCUUCCUUCGCUCAGUUCGCCCAGAAGCUGCUGCCCCAUCAGUCAGGGGUGCGCGUGCUUGCCGAAUGACUGCCUGUGGCCGGACUGCCCGCCGGACACCGUGCGGCGCCUGGUGAAGAAGGGCAACCGGCAGCCCGGGUCAUGCUGCGAUGCCUACGAGUGCAUCCCGGCCGGCAGCGGCGACGGCGUGUGCCGGGUGGGCAAGGAGACGUACAAGACGAACGAGACGUGGCAGACCAAGUGCAGCAGCUGCUCGUGCCGCAACGGGGUGGCCAACUGCAACGACCACCCGUGCAAGGGCGUCGACGUCCACUGCUCCUGGCUCCACAAGCCGGACGGGGACUGCUGCCCGGUCUGCCUCGGCUGCCUGACGUCGUCGGGGCUGCGCUUCAACAACAGCGAGCGUUGGAAGGAGGACGACUGCACCUGGUGCGAGUGCGUGUCCGGCAAGGCCAAGUGCGAGACCCAGAUGUGCCAGACCAAGUGCCCCAACCCGGUCAAGCAGCCGGGCGUCUGCUGCCCCGUCUGCGAGACCCUUUUGAAGACUCGCAACAUCAAGUUCCCCGAUCCCAACGCUGUUACGGCGCCGGCUCCCCGCAGAAACCGCUUCACCCGGUUCGAGCGUCUUCCACGUGGGCGCCAACCGAACCUCGCCGUCGACGCGGGUGUGCGGCCAAGACGACCGGAGCGUUUGGCGCGACCAGUGCCGGCACUGCGCCUGCCUCAACGGCCGCGAGGUCUGCUCCCUGGUGGCAUGCCCAAGAACCUACUGCGAACAUCCCGUCAUGGAGCCCGGUGCCUGCUGCCCCGUGUGUCAGAACGACGUCACCAUCCCAUUUCGGCGCGCCCCUGUGAGCGCGGCUGUCUGUCAGGGGCUGGACGGCCACAUCCACCGAGAGGGGGACUCCUGGUGGCUGGACGACUGUACCCAGUGCGUGUGCGUGGACGGCUUCGCCAUGUGCGAGUCUACCCCAUGUCCAGCGGCCCCCUGCGCCCUCCCCGUGCGCAAGCAAGGGCAGUGUUGUCCCGUCUGCAACGAGGAAGCCCACCUUGGGGGCAACUCAUCCAACCAGCUGCCGUGCGUCGGGGGCCUCAAGGACGGGCAGUCGUGGCGCAGCGAGCCUUGCCUGAGCUGCCUGUGCCAGGCAGGGAAGGAGCGCUGCUUCCGGGAGACAUGCCCACCCACUACCUGUCUCGAGCCGCUCUACCUCAAGAACCGGUGCUGCCCAAUCUGCCCGGUGUCUGCGUCCAAGCCGUCCCCCAGCUGCCGGACGGACGGCAAGUCGUACCCGGACGGGUCGUGGUGGUCGCCAGACAACUGCAAGCGCUGCCACUGCACCCAGGGACAGGUGCACUGCUCCGAGAUGGGCUGCCCCGCUGGGCUGUGCCGCUCGGCCGACCACGCCUCCGGAAGCUGCUGCAUUCCGUGCACGGAAGGGUCAUCGAGGCCCUCGUCGCCGCUCUCGGCGACCCAGUGCGCUCUGGGCAAACUGGUGCUGUCGGACGGCGAACAUCGUGCCCUGGAUAACUGCAACCGGUGCCAGUGCGACCGGGGCCGCCUCCUCUGCCGCGAGACCGUCUGCCACCAGGAUCUGUGCCGCACUCGCAACCACACCUCCGGAAACUGCUGCACGCAGUGCCGAGAGCUGGGCCACGGCGACGACACCAAGGUGGGCCCCGGCGACGUCGGCUACAUCGUAGCCAUCGUAUUCCUCGUCGUCCUCUUGAUCUCCCUGUUCAGCUACAACCUGUUCCAGCAACGGAGGAAGCACCGUGCCAAGGGCUUCAACAAGGCCAGACAGCCGUACCAGAAGACACCCAACGGCCACGUCUGAAUCCAAUCCAACAAGAGCCGCACGGCAUCCGGAACACCCCUCUCCCCCCAAUUCUCCGUGCCCACCGGCAUGCGGAAGCCUUUGUGAUAUCGAGUAUUUAUGCCAAAGCGGGCAGGAAACGAGGACCACGUCCCCUGUUGUGACUUCCGCAAAUUUUUUUUAAAUCGGUCUCUCGCCCACGGCCACGUGCCAGCUUUCUCGCCCACGGCCAUACGCCAGGUUUCUCACCCAAGGAUUCGUGCCCGCGGCCGUUUGUGACAAACCAUGUGGGGUGUGAAGUGGCGCGACGACGACGUGACCUGCAAGCUACGUUUUCUAUCUGCACAUCGAUCCUGGCGGCAGCCGCAGGGUAGCUCUAUCCCACGACAAACGAACUACUUGUGGAUCGCUCCCUUACCGCGAAUGACGGGUGCACCCUUCGGCGAAGUGACUGCAGCGACGCCGCCGCAGUUUGCAUGUGCCAAAACGUGCCAUAGACGAAGGGCUGCCACGGCGAAACCGGGCAGCAUCCAUUUCUUUGUGUGAUACGAUGGAGUGCGACGCGACGGGGCGGAAGUCGCCCGGCGCACGUGGUCCGGCACGGCACCGCACUUUCGACGCAACCGUAAUGCAAACUCUCACUCCCGGCCGACUGUCCCUCGACACGCAGAAAAAUAAAGCGGGGACGACAAGAAGCCGCGACUGCAUUUAGACGCGUAAACCGACCACCACGGCAAGGUUUGGACGUUUUUGUACGAUAGCACGCGAGUGCGGUAGUCACGCACGUCGCGUUUGGUGGUGUGGUCGUCGCACUCGAGAGCACUUUUAUCGGGUCGACGCCGUUUUUAAGCGUGCGUUUUUCCCUUACCCUUUUUUUUUUGUACAAUGCCGUAAAGUGAAAAGGAGUGUCUUGGUCUCUUCCCUUUUUCCUAGUUUUGCCACUAGCGAGAGAAAGAAAACACCACCUUCUUGUUCGGUUUUUUUAAAACAAUGUGUAUAUAAACUUCUUACAUAUUCCUUCGGAGUUACACCAAGAUGAAAACAAAAAAAGGACAGAGGAAAGCAUUCUCAGCGUUCCUUCACCGGUGUAGCGCCUCAAUAAAGCCGAAACAUUUCACUGUGGA